AUAUAUAUAUAUUUUUUAAAGCAAUAUGCACAUGUUUAUUGUGUGAUAUUUACAUAUCUACAGUAUGACACAGCACUACGCUGUGAUGAUGCACGCUGACACAGAUUGCACCGCUAUGGGUUAGUUAGGCCACAGUGGCAGGUUACCAUGGUGUUUAGACUCUAGACCAAAGGGGUGGGUAACCCUGCUCUUGGAGGGCUGCAGGCACUUCAUGUUUACGACUUAACCAACCUGGAAGACCAGAUGUGUUGAAUAUAGGCAAUCACUUGAACUGAUCCAUUAACUAAGUGUCACGGUGUGGUGCCGAGUCGGGACAAAAUGCUGCAGCACCUACAACACCCCAGGAAAAUGGUUCCCUACCCUCGACCAUGUCAAGUAUAGCUACAGUAUAAUAUACAUCUUUUGGCUUCAUGAAGGAUGGUAGAACAAUGUGAACAAUGCAACAUUCAGAGUACCAUGACUGAGAGACACGGGAACAGACAGCAGACAGUUCUUUUGUUGAUCGAGGACUCUCUAGUCCCGUUUAUACCUGGCGCUAGCAUACGUCCUUUUUGUCCUGAUCUUGUCCUCAUUCUAAUUGAGCACAGAGAGAUAGAGACAGAGAGAGGGACAGAGAGAGAGAGACAGAAAGAGAGACAGAGAUAGAAAGAGAAAGAGAGAGAGACAGAGAGAGGGACAGAGAGAUAGAGACAGAGAGAGGGACAGAGAGAUAGAGACAGAGACAGAGAUAGAAAGAGAAAGAGAGAGACGGAGAAAUAUGGAUGUAGUGGGUGUUCUUGGUUAGGAGAGAUAGUGUAAAGAUCAGAUCACUGAUAACCUUUUGGCUUUAUUAUGUUCUCUCUGUGUAGAGGAUAUAGGAUACAGAGACACACAGGGGAGGAAGAAGCCCUGCUAGUGUAAACCUCUUACUGUCAACAGGGAGAGUAGAUCCCUAGAUCCCGUGCAUAGAGAGACUAUUCCUAUCUCUCUGAGGGUAAGUAGAUCCCUAGAUCCCAUGCAUAGAAAGACUGUUCUUAUCUCUCUGAGGGACAGUAGAUCCCUAGAUCCCAUGCAUAGAAAUACUGUUCCCAUCUCUCUGAGAGACAGUAGAUCCCUAGAUCCCAUGCAUAGAAAUACUGUUCCUAUCUCUCUGAGGGUAAGUAGAUCCCUAGAUCCCAUGCAUAGAAAUACUGUUCCUAUCUCUCUGAGGGACAGAGGAUCCCUAGAUCCCAUGCAUAGAAAUACUGUUCCUAUCUCUCUGAGGGACAGUAGAUCCCUAGAUCCCAUGCAUAGAAAUACUGUUCCUAUCUCUCUGAGGGACAGUAGAUCCCUAGAUCCCAUGCAUAGAAAGACUGUUCCUAUCUCUCUGAGGGUAAGUAGAUCCCUAGAUCCCAUGCAUAGAAAGACUGUUCCUAUCUCUCUGAGGGUAAGUAGAUCCCUAGAUCCCAUGCAUAGAAAGACUGUUCCUAUCUCUCUGAGGGACAGUAGAUCCCUAGAUCCCAUGCAUAGAAAGACUGUUCCUAUCUCUCUGAGGGUAAGUAGAUCCCUAGAUCCCAUGCAUAGAAAUACUGUUCCUAUCUCUCUGAGGGACAGUAGAUCCCUAGAUCCCAUGCAUAGAAAGACUGUUCCUAUCUCUCUGAGGGACAGUAGAUCCCUAGAUCCCAUGCAUAGAAAGACUGUUCCUAUCUCUCUGAGGGUAAGUAGAUCCCUAGAUCCCAUGCAUAGAAAGCCUGGUUGCAACCUGAAAGGUUAUCACUGUUGUGUCUAUGGUGCCUAAAGCAUCUCCUGAUGUAUUUGAACAUCCCCAGCCCACACUGUUAUAGGAAGAGACAAUAGAUAGAACAUGAGGAAAGAGGUGGAGGAGAGACAGGCAGAGAAAGAGGUGGAGGAGAGACAGGCAGAGAAAGAGGUGGAGGAGAGACAGGCAGAGAACGAGGUGGAGGAGAGACAGGCAGAGAAAGAGGUGGAGGAGAGACAGGCAGAGAAAGAGGAGGAGGAGAGACAGGCAGAGAAAGAGGUGGAGGAGAGACAGGCAGAGAACGAGGUGGAGGAGAGACAGGCAGAGAACGAGGUGGAGGAGAGACAGGCAGAGAAAGAGGUGGAGGAGAGACAGGCAGAGAAAGAGGAGGAGGAGAGACAGGCAGAGAAAGAGGAGGAGGAGAGACAGGCAGAGAACGAGGUGGGGGAGAGACAGGCAGAGAAAGAGGAGGAGGAGAGACAGGCAGAGAACGAGGUGGGGGAGAGACAGGCAGAGAACGAGGUGGGGAGAGACAGGCAGAGAAAGAGGAGGAGGAGAGACAGGCAGAGAAAGAGGAGGAGGAGAGACAGGCAGAGAAAGAGGUGGGGGAGAGACAGGCAGAGAACGAGGUGGAGGAGAGACAGGCAGAGAACGAGGUGGGGGAGAGACAGGCAGAGAAAGAGGAGGAGGAGAGACAGGCAGAGAAAGAGGUGGAGGAGAGACAGGCAGAGAAAGAGGUGGAGGAGAGACAGGCAGAGAAAGAGGUGGAGGAGAGACAGGCAGAGAAAGAGGUGGAGGAGAAACAGGCAGAGAAAGAGGUGGAGGAGAGACAGGCAGAGAAAGAGGAGGAGGAGAGACAGGCAGAGAAAGAGGUGGAGGAGAGACAGGCAGAGAAAGAGGUGGAGGAGAGACAGGCAGAGAAAGAGGAGGAGGAGAGACAGACAGAGAAAGAGGUGGAGGAGAGACAGGCAGAGAAAGAGGUGGAGGAGAGAGAUGUGCUAAUGCUGCUGCUAUCUGGUGGUGGCUAACCUGCACUGCAGGUAAAACACAAUAGAGUAGGGGUGGGUGGAUGGAUGGGGACAUUUCACAAUGAAACCCGUACACACACACCAUUAUAUUCUAUGAGUAUAAUUCUAAAAUAAACAUAUAUAAUAGAACACAUAUCUUCUUUUACACAUUUCAUCAUAUCAAGACAUAAUCCAGAUGACUUUACACAUCAACAAAAAAAAAACAUUAGUAAUGCUGGAAUAUGAGCUGCCUAAUAAAAGCCUGAUAAUGCCAUUGGGGUGGGAAACCGUUCAGAUCAGCACAGAGGAUAACGCUUUAAAGUCUCUCACUCCAAUGAUUCCUUGUUACAGUCCAAACCCUACUUUCCCUUGAGACGUACAGUGUAGUAAAAAAACAAACAAAAAAAAGAAGCAUUUCCCAGCAUUCCAAGGACCAGAGUCACAUCAUAAUGGUAAUGCAUUUUGUGUCACAAUGACCAGCAUCAACACACAGAAGAACCACAGGAAGACAGCAGGAGUGCACGCAGGAGUGCACGCAGGAGUGCACGCAGGAGUGCACGCAGGAGUGCACGCAGGAGUGCACGCAGGAGUGCACGCAGGAGUGCACGCAGGAGUGCACGCAGGAGUGCUCACCACAGCAAAACGUUAUGCAGCUGAAGAAAGCGAAAGGUCGUCCCAUCCUGUUUCAGUUCAGAUUGUUUUUCCGUUUAGUGCCUAAUGAAUAUGACCCACGGGACAGGGGAUACCUCUUCAUUAUAGUUAUAUACCCUGAUAAUUUAAUAUGUUUUGUUCCCCAAUAUAAUAUUUAGAAUAAUAUAUACAUCACGUAUGUACUUUGUAAUCAUGUCAUAUUAUAUUAUGGAGCAUCUAUGGAUAUGGCUGUGCCGUGUGUGUGUGUGUGUGUGUGUGUGUGUGUGUGUGUGUGUGUGUGUGUGUGUGUGUGUGUGUGUGUGUGUGUGUGUGUGUGUGUGUGUGUGUGUGUGUGUGUGUGUGUGUGUGUGUGUGUCUUGCCAGCCGCUCUCCUCCCAGUGGUAAACCACCUCCCAGACGUCACCACUUCAACAACCACCGUACAGAACUUUCAUCAACACGUUGAGAAGUUGAUACACCUGUCAGUCAAGGUCUGGGGGAUUCAGACACGGCAAAGCAGGUCCUUGUGACAGUGCAUUCUCCUGACAUUACUCCCAUUCUCCUGACAUUACUCCCAUUCUCCUGACAUUACUCCCAUUCUCCUAACAUUACUCCCAUUCUCCUAACAUUAAUCCCAUUCUCCUAACAUUAAUCCCAUUCUCCUGACAUUACUCCCAUUCUCCUAACAUUACUCCCAUUCUCCUAACAUUAAUCCCAUUCUCCUGACAUUAAUCCCAUUCUCCUAACAUUAAUCCCAUUCUCCUGACAUUAAUCCCAUUCUCCUAACGUUAAUCCCAUUCUCCUGACAUUAAUCCCAUUCUCCUGACAUUACUCCCAUUCUCCUAACAUUAAUCCCAUUCUCCUAACAUUAAUCCCAUUCUCCUGACAUUAAUCCCAUUCUCC
ensembl:lncRNA